rnacentral:tRNA from 1 species
CGGAGCAUAGCACAACUUGGUAGUGCACUAGUUUUGGGAACUAGAGGUUACAAGUUCAAAUCUCGUUACUCCGACCA